AUUGAACGCUGGCGGCAGGCCUAACACAUGCCAGUCGAGCGGCUGCAGGGUGCUUGCUCCUGGAUUCAGCGGCGGACGGGUGAGUAAUGCCUAGAAAUCUGCCUGGUAGUGGGUUAUAACGUCCGGAAACGGGCGCUAUUACCCCAUAAGUGCAGAGGGCGUACGUGUGAGAGCUUCGGACCUCCCGCUCUCACAUGAGCCUAGGUCGGAUUAGCUAGUUGGCGGGGUAAAGGCCUACCAAGGCGACGAUCCGUAGCUGGUCUGAGAGGAUGAUCAGUCACACUGGAACUGAGACACGGUCCAGACUCCUACGGGAGGCAGCAGUGGGGAAUAUUGGACAAUGGGCGAAAGCCUGAUCCAGCCAUGCCGCGUGGGUGAAGAAGGUCUUCGGAUUGUAAAGCACUUUUGGUGGGGAGGAAGAGCAGUAAGUUAAUACCUCGCUGUUUUGACGGUACCAAAAGAAUAAGCACCGGCUAACUUCGUG
rnacentral:rRNA from 1 species